AUAUAUACAUAUAUAUAUAUAUAUUAGGGCGGGGGCCGGGGGGAGGCGGGUGUAUUUGGUUGAAAUUAUAGAAUUGAGGCUGAACUAUUAAGUUAUUUGGGUUGUGUUUAAUGAAUUGCUCUACAACGUUUUAAUUGGCUCCCAAAUUUUUAGAUCGUUUGUUAUAGUUGAGUCUUAACGGGUGCUGAUGCUGAAAAUACUAAACAAGUUGUCUCAUGUAUUCAGAAAUGGUGUGAUUUAUUCGGUGCUGAAAUGUGUAUUUAGCAAUACAAUGGCAAUCUCUGCCAGGAUGGAAAAACCCCUAUAAGAGUGUGUUUUGUAGAAUGCCCAGCUCAUUUGUUUUGGUUUUCCUUACCUAGAAUUCUGGUUCUUCUUCGCAUCCAGGGGACAUUGUCUGUUAAGAGUAUCUCCACCCAAUCUUUGUCACUGUUUGAGUUAUUGGAGCAAAUAGUCAUUAUCAACUUUUUCUCAGUUGGAAAAAUUUUCUUCUUAUCCUUAGCUCUGUGUACAAAUAUGUAUAAAGGUAUUUGCAUAAGCUAUCUUUAAAGAAAUGCAACAUAUUUGACACACAGAUGCUUGGACUUAAAUUUAGUUUGUUCUUCUAUUUUAUCCAAGUUUGGCAUUUUCAUCCUAAAAUUUUUUAUGUAGCAUUGUGAAAGAAAUAGGGAUCUUUUGUUUUCAAAUAGAAAAAAAUACAUAGAAAACAUAGCAGCUAUAGAUUGAAGUGUUGCUCGCUGUUGCAAUUUUUUCUAUUAGCAUUCUAGGCAAAAUUGGGAAUUUCUCAUGAUUUUCAGUUUUCACUACAGUACAAGCUGUUAAUUUUUUUUAUAUUCCAGUAGAUGCUACUCAUGAUCAAGGAUGACCUUUGUUUCUAUUACAAGCGUUGAUGUUGUGUACAGGUAUAGGCUUGUGUCAUGUUUGAUGAAAGUCAUUAUUCUGGUUGGACUUCAUGUGUUUUGCCGGGCACCAAGAGUGUUUUUUUUGUAAUUGGUUUAUGCUCUAGGUGAAUUAGAAAUUUAUAAAAAUGAGUGCUACAGCUGACUAUGUGAAAGAAGAAAAAAAAAAAAUUCCUUAUGUUAGUUAUUUCAUAAUCCAAGCGAAAUUUUUAUGGUGCCUGUUCUGGAUAGGAUCUGUCUGUCAUAAGCAUUACUUUGUGUUGAUCCUUAGCUUGAAGCGAAGGGAAUACGAAGAAUUCUUACAUUUCUUGUUUCCUUUUGCUGAAUUCAGAUUGAUUUCCUGCAGAUACGUAGAAGCUUUAAGGAUUCU
rnacentral:misc_RNA from 1 species